rnacentral:rRNA from 1 species
UCCCCUAGUAGCGGCGAGCGAAGCGGGAAGAGCUCAAAUUUAUAAUCUGGCACCUUCGGUGUCCGAGUUGUAAUCUCUAGAAGUGUUUUCCGCGUUGGACCGCACACAAGUCUGUUGGAAUACAGCGGCAUAGUGGUGAAACCCCCGUAUAUGGUGCGGACGCCCAGCGCUUUGUGAUACACUUUCAAUGAGUCGAGUUGUUUGGGAAUGCAGCUCAAAUUGGGUGGUAAAUUCCAUCUAAAGCUAAAUAUUGGCGAGAGACCGAUAGCGAACAAGUACCGUGAGGGAAAGAUGAAAAGCACUUUGGAAAGAGAGUUAACAGUACGUGAAAUUGUUGGAAGGGAAACGCUUGAAGUCAGACUUGCUUGCCGGAGCUUGCUUCGGUUUGCAGGCCAGCAUCAGUUUUCCGGGGUGGAUAAUGACGGUUUGAAGGUAGCAGUCUCGGCUGUGUUAUAGCUUUCCGUUGGAUACAUCCUGGGGGACUGAGGAACGCAGCGU